rnacentral:lncRNA from 1 species
GUCCGGUAUUCCCCUCUUAUGGCGCUCUUGCUCCAUCCUCAGAACCAUCUAAAGAAAAGGCUGAGUGCAGUGGCUUAUGCCUGUAGUCCCACUGCUUUGAGAGGCUGAGGCAGGAAGAUCACUUGAAGCCAGGAGUUUGAGAUUAGUCUGGGCAAUACAGUAAGACCCUGUCUCUAUAAAAAAGUAAAAUAAAAUAGGUGUGUGGCGGCACAUGCCUAUAGUCCUAGCUACUGGGGAGGCUGAGGCUGGAGGCUCUUUGGAGCCCAGGAGUUGGAGGCUGUAAUGAGCUAUAAUUGCACCACUGCACUCCAGCCUAGGUAACAGGGAGCUAUCCUGUCUCUAAAAGUCAUAAAUAUAUAAAUAAAAUGAAUAAAGCUCCUCUAAUAAAGGAGACCCUGUGACCCUCCUGCAAACAAGUAAGAGCCAGUGUCUCUUGGGCUGCCCCCGCCUCUGCCGUUGCCCCUCGCUGCCACGUGCUGCCGCUGUUGAAUGGACCAUAGUGGCUUUUUUGAGGAGGGGAAGUCUCAGCUAAUUCCACUUCCUAAAUUAUCUCCUGUGGCCUGUUCUCACUGGGUUUCUAGAUGACGGCCCUCAGUGCCCAGCCCUUUGGGUUCUAUACAGUCCUCCUCCUCACCUUGGGGACCUAUGCCAGGAAGGUUCAGGAGUCAGCUCCCUGCCAGGCUCAUGGACACGUCCUUUCACCCCGAGAAAUGCCAGGGUUUCUCACCAGUCACUCCACCCAUUCCUCCCUCCCUUAAAUAAACUCCUUGCCUCAAAGGUGUUCCUAGCGAUUAGAAACACAAGACAAUUGCUUCCCUUCACUUAAAGGAAAGCCUUCUCUAUCUCGGAGACGAGUCACCUUCCAAAGAAUGCGCAGGGAUCAUCACCAGGACCCUCUUGCUAACUGUGAAAAACAAACACAGCGGACAAAACCAAGCCCUUCAGCAGUGACAGAACGGAACCAGUGUUUCUUAGUGAGUAGACGUGGGGCCAAAAAAGACCGGAUCUCUUCAAGCUCACCUGGCCACAUUCUCUUCCUGCUGCUCCCAGAUGUCCCACCAGACUGUCGCUCUGCGGGACUCAAACAUUUCUUGAAGGGUCAUAGCAUUGUCCACAGUGGUCAAAAUGUGGAAAUAACCCAAAGGUCCAUCAACAGAUGAAUAAACAAAAUGUGGUGUGUAUAUGGAAUAUUAUUCAGUGUUAGAAAGGAAAGAUGGCGGGGCACAGUGGCUCACGCCUGUAAUCGCAGCACUUUGGGAGGUUGAAACUGG